UACGGGGGGGGCAAGCGUUGUUCGGAAUUACUGGGCGUAAAGGGCGCGUAGGCGGUUCGCUAAGUUGGAUGUGAAAACUCUGGGCUUAACCCAGAGCCUGCAUCCAAAACUGGCAAACUUGAGUACUGGAGGGGAAAGCGGAAUUCCUGGUGUAGCGGUGAAAUGCGCAGAUAUCAGGAGGAACACCGGUGGCGAAGGCGGAUCUCUGGGCCUUACCUGACGCUCAGGUGCGAAAGCUAGGGGAGCGAACAGG
rnacentral:rRNA from 1 species